CUCACUGCAGAAUCCCAAAGCGAUCAACGC
rnacentral:piRNA from 1 species